UAUUUUCAAUGUGUAUCGAGCUAUCCAGAUGUAUACAUACAGGUAGUGCUGUUCCCGGGUGCAGUGGAGCUCAGUUCAGCAGUCUGGAGCACAGCAUGCUGAGGAGCUGCCUGAUCUCUCUCUCUCUCUCAUGGAAAUGACCAUUAUAAUUGGCAGAGACCGUUUUCCACAACAUGUCAGUAGUGUCAGGUCUUUAGGGCUGCAUCACAAUGAAUGCUUUUCUCAUUCUUUUGAAAAGGUCAGUACCUGUAUGUCCCUGAGAAGAAUGGAGAGUGUCUCCGUGUGACCGAUGAAGAGGAGAAGACUGCCAUUCUCAAAGAAGUUCACGCAGGACACUUCGGCUCAUGGGUGUGUGAACAAGGGGGUGGGGGGAGCCCCAGAAUUAGGAGUUAUUUGUUUUAUUGUGUUGGACAGCACACGUGGAGGGGUGAUGAGGUGAUGGACACAGCCAGGCUCUGCUACGUAGACAGUACCCACAGGUGGGAGGUUUGUAUGCUGUCACCAGCCUGACACAGCUGACCUCCUUCAGCUCACCGGCUCAGGGAUUUGUACAGAUUCUCAAUGUGUCUUGCAAUCACUGGGUCAUGGUCGUAUCACUGCUGCAGUACAGUGGAAAGACAGUUGGGAUCGUGUGGCCACAUGUACAGCAGCAGCAGGGAUGGAGGGACUGUGGACUGUUUACCAUCGCAAACAGCCUCACACUCUGCAUGGGUGGAGAUCCAGGUAAGUUAUGUUAUGAUCAAAAGCAAAUGCGUGAUCAUCUUUUUUCUUGUUUUGUAGAUGGAUCUCUUCCUCCUUUCCCGAGCUGUGAGAGAACUCCCCUCCCAGAGGUACAUUUCUGUGAUGUGGAGACCAGACAGGAUUGCACUGGAGCUGAUGGUGGAAUGCGGGAGGUGUGGAGAAUGGUUCCAUGGCCAGUGUGAAGAUCUACAGCCAGAUGACCUCAUCAGUAUGGAGGAGUGUCUGACAUGGACGGCUCACAGGAGAUCCAGUUGCUCUACUCUCUGUGCCAGUAGAGGCCACUUUACUUUCCUUGAGUAAACUUUCCUUUGUAAAGGGUUUUGGCUGGUAAACGGUUGAGCCGUCCAGUUGUAGUUAGGCCUUGUUUUGUUUAUUUUUGUUUUGUAUUUAAUAAAAGUACACAACAGUGCUACAAAGAACUGCUCUGUGUCUGGGUCUGUUAAUAGGGUGUAAAUAAGCCUUGGCCAAAGGCUAUUGUUACAAUAUUGUUACAAUUGUUGCAUAAGGUUCACACAGUACCUUUCUCUUGUGACCACCCAGGUCUGCUCCACACAUGACUUUCCUCUGUCAGCCCUGUCUACAGGGUUUCCCCUGCAUUUAUCCAGGGCUUAAUCAGCCUCAGGUGCUUCACAUUAAGAUUAGAGCCAGGUGAACCUCGUCCUGACUCAGUCCCGGUGCAUUCUGGGUAACGUAGUGCAAUUACUACCUGUCUCCUCCCCAUAC